CUGAUAAUCCAGUGUAAUAGCCAUGGGGAAUCUAUGAUGCCAGAGGAUCAAAUGAGAAAAUACCACCCAGUGUGAAGAGUAUGGGGAAGCUUGAUGAAGAGUAUGAUCGUAGUCGCAGUCAGGCCAGGUACUGACAGUUGAGUCCUGGGCCAAGGCUGCCAUCUUCCAUAUCUCAGCCUCCUGGGAUGCUGGGAAAGUUUCUCAGCAAAUGCCCACCCCGUCCUUCACCAGAGACGCACAUGGAGAAAUAGGCAUGUCCAGUCCCCGCCUUGCCUCACACCCAUGACUGUUCUCCAUCCACUCAACUCCUCAGCAUCACCUGCAGGACCUCCACAGAGAGCCUUGGCCUGAGACCUGGGGAGUGGGGCUGAAAGCAGGUGCAGAUCACCAGGGGAGCUUCCCAGGCAGGGUCAUGAGACCCCAGGAUGUCAGACUGAAAGAGACCUCAGGGAUCACCACUUUGGAACCCUGUGUUGCACACAUGGAUAAGCCUCAGCUCAGAGAGGUGGAGACACUGGCCCAGGGACCCACAGCAAGAUAAGUGCCCAGCUGGGACUGGAUGGGAGGAAGUGGUUCAGCGUUGGAACUCAAAUGCCCAGGUUCAAAUCUGGGUCUGUUGCUUACCAGCUGUGAGCCUAAGUCUCUGAACCCUCUGUGCCUCAGUGUCCUCAUUCUGGAGAAUGAAGAGAAUAAUGGAUCCUAUUUCAAAUGAUUGCCAGAAAUAAGCAUAUUCUAUGCA